rnacentral:rRNA from 1 species
UACGUAGGGUGCAAGCGUUAAUCGGAAUUACUGGGCGUAAAGCGUGCGCAGGCGGUUUUGUAAGUCAGAUGUGAAAUCCCCGGGCUUAACCUGGGAAUGGCAUUUGGGACUGCAAGGCUUGAGUUUGGCAGAGGAGACUGGAAUUCCUGGUGUAGCAGUGAAAUGCGUAGAUAUCAGGAGGAAUACCGAUGGCGAAGGCAGGUCUCUGGGCUGAAACUGACGCUCAUGCACGAAAGCGUGGGGAGCAAACAGG